rnacentral:ncRNA from 1 species
CAAAGGCUUGGUCCUGACUUUUAUGUCAGCUGUGGCUGAACUUACACAUGCAAGUAUCCGCAUCCCCGUGAGAAUGCCCUGCAGUUCCUCUCCCCGGAACAAGGAGCUGGUAUCAGGCACAACCCUCGACUCAUCGUUAGCCCAUGACGCCUUGCUUAGCCACACCCCUAAGGGACCUCAGCAGUGAUAAAUAUUAAGCAAUAAGUGAAAACUUGACUUAGUUACAGCCAAUAAGGGCCGGUAAAACUCGUGCCAGCCACCGCGGUUAUACGAGAGGCCCAAGUUGACAAACCCUCGGCGUAAAGCGUGGUUAGAAUAUUUUACUACUAAAGCCGAACGCCCUCAUAGCUGUUAUACGCUCCCGAGGGUAAGAAGCUCAAUUACGAAAGUAGCUUUACCUAACUCGACCCCACGAAAGCUGUGGAACAAACUGGGAUUAGAUACCCCACUAUGCACAGCCACAAACUUUGGCACCCCCUUUUUAUACCGGUGCCCGCCCGGGUACUACGAGCAUCAGCUUGAAACCCAAGGGACUUGGCGGUGCUUAAGAUCCCCCUAGAGGAGCCUGUUCUAGAACCGAUGCCCCCCGUUAAACCUCACCCUCUCUUGCUCCUCCCGUCUAUAUACCGCCGUCGUCAGCUUACCCUGUGAAGGCUCAAUAGUAAGCAGAAUUAGCCCCUCCUCCAAACGUCAGGUCGAGGUGUAGCACAUGAGAGGGGAAGAAAUGGGCUACAUUCCCUGCCUCAGGGAAUACGGAUAAUAAACUGAAACGUUUAUUAGAAGGAGGAUUUAGCAGUAAGAGGAAAAUAGAGUGUUCCCCUGAAACCGGCCCUAAAGCGCGCACACACCGCCCGUCACUCUCCCCGAAUUACCCCCCCCCCACAUACAUUAAUACACUGAACUAAAGAAGGGGAGGCAAGUCGUAACAUGGUAAGGGUACCGGAAGGUGCCCUUGGAAAAAC